rnacentral:lncRNA from 1 species
GUAGUUGAAAACCGGUGAUUGUAUAUGCUUAAGUUGAUGUUUUUACGUCUAAAAGAGUUUAAGGAGCUAAUCGGGAGCUAAACGGAGCACCGGGACGCGAAACGGAUCAACCGGGGAUGUGAAAUGAAGAAAACCGGGUUAAUCACUAAGAUUGGAUGUAUUUUGGGGAAUGUUGAUGGAUCUAAAAUGAAUAUAUUGGAAGAUGGCAUGAUAGAGGGCUGAAUUACGAGAACGUGGGCGAAAACGGUGAGUAAAACGGAGCUAUAACGAAAAAGUUAUGAAGAAAACAGUUUUGGACGAAACCGACAAAACCAGGCAGCGUCGGGGACGCCCAAAAGGGCCGUCGGCGACGCCCUCUGGAUUGUUCCGUCGGCCAAAAACCUCCGUAAACAGCUAAUUAAGCCGUCGGGCGAAACUAAGACUUCCAAGGGCCGUCGGGGACGCCCUAAAUGGCCGUCGGCGACGCCAUCUGCAUUCUCAUAUCGCGAAAAACUUGAUUUUUAAGUUGGGGACGAGUUAUAACAUCAAUUUUGACCAAGAAACGGGAGUUACACUUCAUUUGGAGUUUGAAAACAAGGUUGGGAGCCAUUAUUCACCUAUCCUUCACUACCACUUCAUCCCCAAUCAAGAAUCCAUCCUCUCAACAACCCGAAUUCUCAUCCAAAUCUAAACCCUAGUUCAUCACCAUUACAACCAUUCAACCCAUUCAUCACCACCAACCAUUCCAAACCCUAACCAUUCCAUCAUCCAUCUUCAAGUCCCAAGAUGAUCCAAUUCAAGUGCCGUGCAUCCGUUGAUCGUGCCAUUUACACCAUGAGCGGCUAAUUCCUCGGAGGUUUCACCCCGGUGUAGGUUAAUUGUAAGUCUAGGGUUUGAACAAUGUUUUAGUUUGGUUUUGUGACAACUUGAUUUGUAUUUGAAUUGAUUGACAAUUGUCUUGCAUUUGAACUAUAUUUGUGAAUUGUCGAGUGAGUUAUGAAAUUUGACUUU